CGGUUUUGGUGAGAGUGAAGCCUCAAAAUUAUGAAAUUUUUCAACAAAGUCAUAAAGCCUUGCAAGUGGAAAUUGGUUGGUGGGAACAUGUGUGUAAGAAGAAAAUCAAUUAUGUACAUAAUUCAAACACUCUUAUCAACAAUUCAAUCACCUUUUAAUUGAUUAAAUGACUUGUUGAUAGAUAAGUCACACCAACCAAUACAAAACAAAGGCUUUAUGAAAUUAACUAAAACUUUGAAUCAAAACAACAAACCUUUUUGUUCUUGGUAAGAACCUCAAGAACAAUGAAGAACACCCAUGAACACCCAUAAGAGUUCCAUGAACAUUUUCACUCAAUAAAACUCAAAUUUUCACUACUCAAAAUGGGGUUAACAUCCUAGGGUACUUAGGGGUUCCAAAAGUCACCUUAAAACACUUUUAAUAAGACAAACAUGAACCCAAA
rnacentral:lncRNA from 1 species